rnacentral:rRNA from 1 species
GAUGAACGCUGGCGGCGUGCCUAAUACAUGCCAGUCGAGCGAACGGACGAGAGGCUUGCUUCUCUGAUGUUAGCGGCGGACGGGUGAGUAACACGUGGAUAACCUACCUAUAAGACUGGGAUAACUUCGGGAAACCGGAGCUAAUACCGGAUGAUAUUUUGAACCGCAUGGUUCAAAAGUGAAAGACGGUCUUGCUGUCACUUAUAGAUGGAUCCGCGCUGCAUUAGCUAGUUGGUAAGGUAACGGCUUACCAAGGCAACGAUGCAUAGCCGACCUGAGAGGGUGAUCGGCCACACUGGAACUGAGACACGGUCCAGACUCCUACGGGAGGCAGCAGUAGGGAAUCUUCCGCAAUGGGCGAAAGCCUGACGGAGCAACGCCGCGUGAGUGAUGAGGGUCUUCGGAUCGUAAAACUCUGUUAUUAGGGAAGAACAUAUGUGUAAGUAACUGUGCACAUCUUGACGGUACCUAAUCAGAAAGCCACGGCUAACUACGUG